rnacentral:misc_RNA from 1 species
UCGAAUGCUAAGAAGUUAGUCUUCGCCCCCUUAACUAAUAACUACCCGCCUUCCGUACUACGUUACCUUUCUGUUAACUGAUUCCUGUGUUAUAAUAAUUUGGUGAUAUCAUUAGUUGUGUUUACUUGUGUCAACAUUACCCACUUAUGCCCACAGUAGACUGAGUGAGUACUCUGAGAUCAUGAGAAAGAGAAAUAUACCUUCAAGCCGAAAAGUAUACCUUCUCCUUUUUUUUAAUAUCUGACAUCAGAAGUGGGAUCGGAUCCAAACCCACUUUCAAAAAUUAAUUAAUUUAGUUAGUUACAUUGAACGAACAAAUGUCUCUCUUCGCUUCCGGUAUAGAAGCUAUUAUUCAGAAAAUAUGUGAAGUUAUAGGCCUACCCCCUGACAAUACAUCUGUUUUUAGCAAUUGUGCGAGUUAGUUACAAUAUUUUGUGGUGAUUGUUACAAUGUCAGAUUGUGAGCGUCGUGAUGAGUUUCAGCGUCGCGGCAAUCACGGCGGCGCUGUAGCAGAGCGACGCGUGGAUGUCUGUACAGUGGCAGGCGUUUGUGGAAAAUUACAACAAUCUUGUGAGUCGUACUAUUUUUAUUUUGAUUCCAGUGCCGAAUGUUAUCUUGUUAGACAAACUGUUGGCCGUAACUUCAUAGGGCGAUUAUUCAUUUACAGGC